rnacentral:rRNA from 1 species
AUGGAAAAUAGAAAUACUUUUUCUUGGGUAAAGGAACAGAUAACUCGAUCGAUUUCUGUAUCGAUCAUGAUAUACGUAAUAACUCGGACAUCUAUUUCAAAUGCAUAUCCCAUUUUUGCGCAGCAGGGUUAUGAAAACCCACGAGAAGCAACUGGACGAAUUGUAUGUGCCAAUUGCCAUUUAGCUAGCAAGCCCGUCGAUAUUGAAGUUCCCCAAGCUGUGCUUCCCGAUACUGUAUUUGAAGCAGUUCUUCGAAUUCCUUAUGAUAUGCAAUUGAAACAAGUUCUUGCUAAUGGAAAAAAGGGAGGGUUGAAUGUAGGUGCUGUUCUUAUUUUGCCCGAGGGAUUCGAAUUAGCGCCGCCCGAUCGUAUUUCCUCUGAUUAUCAUCCCGAUAAAAAAAAUAUUCUUGUGAUAGGCCCUGUUCCCGGUAAGAAAUAUAGUGAAAUUGUCUUUCCCAUUCUUUCCCCUGAUCCUGCUACGAAGAAAGAUGCUCAUUUCUUAAAAUAUCCCAUAUAUGUAGGGGGAAACUGAGGAAGAGGACAGAUCUAUCCUGAUGGUAGCAAGAGUAACAAUACAGUCUAUAAUGCUACGUCAACAGUUGAUGCAUCAGAUGGACGCCAAGUGAUUGAUAUUAUACCUCCCGGACCAGAACUUCUUGUUUCAGAGGGGGAAUCCAUCAAGCUUGAUCAACCAUUAACAAGCAAUCCUAAUGUGGGAGGUUUUGGUCAGGGGGGCGCGGAAAUCGUGCUUCAGGAUCCACUACGUGUCCAAGGCCUUUUGUUCUUCUUUGCAUCAGUUAUUUUGGCACAAGUUUUUUUGGUUCUCAAAAAGAAACAGUUUGAAAAGGUUCAAUUGUACGAAAUGAAUUUCUAG